GACCCUCUCCGCCAUUUAAAGAAACAGUACCGGGGGCGGGCCGAGCGACGCAGCCGGGACGGUAGCUGCGGUGCGGACCGGAGGAGCCAUCUUGUCUCGUCGCCGGGGAGUCAGGCCCCUAAAUCGAAGAAGCCCUGGCGCGCCCUCCCCCCCUCCCGGGUCUGUCCUGUGCCUCCUGAUUGCUGAGUGUUCACCUGGACCUUCUGACUACCUUCCCUGUGCUAUUCCAUCAGCCUACAGACCUGGUACCUGGAUUUUUGCCCGAGAUGAUUCCUACCACCUUACUACUGACGAAGACACCCAUUCCAGUGGACCACUGUGACCCAGGAGGCAUUCAGCCAUCAUGAUGUGGCCUUUACCUCCACUCCUGUCUUGUUCUACCCAGAUUCAGCA
rnacentral:lncRNA from 1 species